AGUGGAGUCACGUCACUUUCCUUAAUUGGGCGUGGCUGGUGUUUGCAUUUUGCAUUGGGUGGGGCUGAAAUGGAAAGCCCAAGGGUGCAAGAAGGCAUGAAGUAUGCUGCUCUUGUUCUCAGGAGAA